CUAGCGGGACUGCCACCGUAAGGUGAGAGGAAGGUGGGGAUGACGUCAAAUCAGCAGGCCCUUAUGUCCAGGGCUACACACGUGUUACAAUGGCCGGUACAGAGGGCAGCUACCUGGUGACAGGAUGCUAAUCCCGAAAGCCGGUCCCAGUUCGGAUUGGAGUCUGCAACCCGACUCCAUGAAGUUGGAUUCGCUAGUAAUCGCGCAUCAGCCAUGGCGCGGUGAAUACGUUCCCGGGCCUU
rnacentral:rRNA from 1 species